UGCAGGCUGAAACCCGCCUGUAUGAAGUUGGAANCGCUAGUAAUCGCGGAUCAGCAUGCCGCGGUGAAUACGUUCCCGGGCCUUGUACACACCGCCCGUCACACCAUGAGAGUCGGGAACACCCGAAGUCCGUAGCCUAACCGCGAAGGGGGGCGCGGCCGAAGGUGGGUUCGAUAAUUGGGGUGAAGUCGUAACAAGGUAAC
rnacentral:rRNA from 1 species